rnacentral:tRNA from 1 species
GCCAGUAUAACAUAGUUUGGAGAUGUGCAGGGUCUGUAACCCUGAAAACGAGGGUUCGAAUCCCUCUACUGGCU